rnacentral:rRNA from 2 species
ACGGGAGGCAGCAGUGGGGGAUAUUGCACAAUGGGGGAAACCCUGAUGCAGCAACGCCGCGUGAGGGAAGACGGUCUUCGGAUUGUAAACCUAAGUUGUCAGGGACGAAACACGACGGUACCUGAAGAGAAAGCUCCGGCUAACUACGUGCCAGCAGCCGCGGUAAUACGUAGGGAGCGAGCGUUGUCCGGAUUUACUGGGUGUAAAGGGUGCGUAGGCGGGUCUGUAAGUCAGACGUGAAAUGCCGGGGCUUAACUCCGGAGCUGCGUUUGAAACUGCGGAUCUUGAGUGAAGUAGAGGUAAGCGGAAUUCCUAGUGUAGCGGUGAAAUGCGUAGAUAUUAGGAGGAACACCAGUGGCGAAGGCGGCUUACUGGGCUUUAACUGACGCUGAGGCACGAAAGCGUGGGGAGCAAACAGGAUUAGAUACCCUGGUA